rnacentral:rRNA from 1 species
UACGAAGGGGGCUAGCGUUGCUCGGAAUCACUGGGCGUAAAGCGCGCGUCGGCGGCUUCUUAAGUCAGGGGUGAAAUCCUGGAGCUCAACUCCAGAACUGCCUUUGAUACUGAGGAGCUUGAGUCCGGGAGAGGUGAGUGGAACUCCGAGUGUAGAGGUGAAAUUCGUAGAUAUUCGCAAGAACACCAGUGGCGAAGGCGGCUCACUGGCCCGGUACUGACGCUGAGGUGCGAAAGCGUGGGGAGCAAACAGG